AUGCUCCUCUGGCAGCACAUAUAUAAAAAUUAGAAAGACAAAAGAUUGGCAUGGCCCUCGUGCAAGGACACACAAAUUAGUAAAGCAUUUUAUAUUUUU
rnacentral:snRNA from 1 species